UAGUCAUAUGCUUGUCUCAAAGAUUAAGCCAUGCAUGUCUAAGAAUAAGCCCUUGAACGGUGAAUCUGCGAAUGGCUCAUUAAAUCAGUUAUUGUUUAUUUGAUGGUACCUUACUACUUGGAUAACCGUAGUAAUUCUAGAGCUAAUACAUGCGCCAAGCCCCGACUUCACGGAAGGGGUGCAUUUAUUAGAUUCAAACCAUCGGGUGUCUCCCCGCAAGGGGGGGCAUCCUUUGAUGGUGAGUCAUAAUAACUUUGCGAAUCGAAUGGCUUUAUG
rnacentral:rRNA from 1 species